rnacentral:lncRNA from 1 species
UUUCAAGUGAAUUCAUUAGAGUCCUUUAGUUGCAAGUAAUAGAAACCAACUUGAAUUAACCUAUGCAAGAAAAAAAAAGUUUCCAGAAAACCUCUCUUUGGGGAGAUCCGAUCUCUUGCUUUUCUUGGCAACUUGAAGACUCCCUGCCUAGGAAAGGGAAGCUUUCCCUGUCUACCUCUGACUCCCAGCAGAUAUUCAGUGAUUGUGAUACUUCUGGCCAUGGCUCCUCAAAUACCCUCCUGCCAUAUACACCUGACUCCACCCAAGGGAUGAAGAAUCACAGGCCUGUGGUGUCACCAGGAAGAAGAUGCUGGAUGAGAGGGAGGCCCUAGUCCUUUGGUGUAUGUGUUGGUGCUCCUUCCUGUGAUUCCUGCUUCUGCCAUCUGACAAGGAAAAGGAAAAUCCAAUGGGUUCAGGAGACAUGGACACAGAGAGUUGGAUGAAGAUAUGAGAAGAGCUGGUGAGUGAGAAUUAAACAUACUAAAUAGGGUUGAGCUCUCAAAUUAGCUCUUAAUUCUCAGAAAUCUCUGUUGCCCUUCAGAGGAGGAAGUGGGCAGGCAUUUGGGCAAUGUGGUUGGGUACUCUUCUAUCACUAGUCACUUUCAAGAGAGAACAAAUGUAGCCGUGAGGUGAAAGGACAAGAAGAUAAGAGGUACCCAGGCUGGUGGAGGGAGUGAGGGAUACAAUAAAUGGGAAGAGGCUGGAAGAGUGGCCGAGGAAGGAAGAACGUUGAGCUGGGUGAGAAGGUGAGUCUUUCUGACUAAGAGAGGAACCAAGAACUCAGUUCAUUAUGGAAGGAUGUCUGUGCCCUAGAAAUCCAUCCUGGACGUGUGUCUAGGAAUCAUUGUUCUAGUGGGUCGUUA